AACGAACGCUGGCGGCAGGCCUAAAACAUGCAAGUCGAGCGGGCAUAGCAAUAUGUCAGCGGCGGACGGGUGAAUAACACGUGGGAACAUGCCCUUUGGUACGGAACAACUCAGGGAAACUUGAGCUAAUACCGUAUGUGCCGGUAACGGGAAAGAUUUAUCGCCAAAGGAUUGGCCCGCGUCCGAUUAGCUAGUUGGUGAGGUAACGGCUCACCAAGGCGACGAUCGGUAGCUGGUUUGAGAGAACGAUCAGCCACACUGGGACUGAGACACGGCCCAGACUCCUACGGGAGGCAGCAGUUGGGAAUCUUGGACAA
rnacentral:rRNA from 1 species